rnacentral:rRNA from 1 species
GACGAACGCUGGCGGCGUGCCUAAUACAUGCAAGUAGAACGCUGAAGAGAGGAGCUUGCUCUUCUUGGAUGAGUUGCGAACGGGUGAGUAACGCGUAGGUAACCUGCCUUGUAGCGGGGGAUAACUAUUGGAAACGAUAGCUAAUACCGCAUAACAAUGGAUGACCCAUGUCAUUUAUUUGAAAGGGGCAAAUGCUCCACUACAAGAUGGACCUGCGUUGUAUUAGCUAGUAGGUGAGGUAACGGCUCACCUAGGCGACGAUACAUAGCCGACCUGAGAGGGUGAUCGGCCACACUGGGACUGAGACACGGCCCAGACUCCUACGGGAGGCAGCAGUAGGGAAUCUUCGGCAAUGGGGGCAACCCUGACCGAGCAACGCCGCGUGAGUGAAGAAGGUUUUCGGAUCGUAAAGCUCUGUUGUAAGUCAAGAACGAGUGUGAGAGUGGAAAGUUCACACUGUGACGGUAGCUUACCAGAAAGGGACGGCUGACUACGCGCCAGCAGCCGCGGUAAUACGUAGGUCCCGAGCGUUGUCCGGAUUUAUUGGGCGUAAAGCGAGCGCAGGCGGUUUGAUAAGUCUGAAGUUAAAGGCUGUGGCUCAACCAUAGUUCGCUUUGGAAACUGUCAAACUUGAGUGCAGAAGGGGAGAGUGGAAUUCCAUGUGUAGCGGUGAAAUGCGUAGAUAUAUGGAGGAACACCGGUGGCGAAAGCGGCUCUCUGGUCUGUAACUGACGCUGAGGCUCGAAAGCGUGGGGGAGCGAACAGG